rnacentral:rRNA from 1 species
AGAUUGAACGCUGGCGGCAUGCUUUACACAUGCAAGUCGAACGGUAACGCGGGGGCAACCCUGGCGACGAGUGGCGAACGGGUGAGUAAUACAUCGGAACGUGCCCAGUUGUGGGGGAUAGCUCGGCGAAAGCCGGAUUAAUACCGCAUACGACCUACGGGUGAAAGCGGGGGAUCGCAAGACCUCGCGCAAUUGGAGCGGCCGAUGGCAGAUUAGCUUGUUGGUGGGUAAAAGCUUACCAAGGCGACGAUCUGUAGCUGGUCUGAGAGGACGACCAGCCACACUGGACUGAGACACGGCCCAGACUCCGUACGGGAGCAGCGAGUGGGGUAAUUUGGAACAAGUGGGCGACAAGCCUGACUCCGAGCAAUGCCGCGUGUGUAG